UUGUUUUUGAUUAUUAUCAAUAAAGUAUUCAGGCGACAAUGUUUGGUACAAGAGUUUGUGGUUGGGCCAUCGGCGGACGCUCUCCAGGCGCGGGGGCCCGGCGGUCGAGACCAGUUGGUCGGGACCGGUCCGCCGAAGCAACGACAAGGUAGAUUAGACACAGGGUUGGGAGGUCGGGCACCCAGAGGGCGACCCUAACUCGGUAAUGAUCCUUCCGCAGGUUCACCUACGGAAA
rnacentral:misc_RNA from 1 species